rnacentral:lncRNA from 1 species
GGCGACGAUGUCGUAUGAGUAUAGGGAGAGAUACAUAGAUUUUGAAUAUGCACUAAUGAUCAACGGUUACUAGGAGUAUUAGUACGUUGUGGAAUUUUAUUUAAGCUCUAUAAUCAUCGAUUCUCACUAAUUCACCCCUCUACCCGUCGUACGUCUUUUCAAUUCCUUUUCCUUUCACGUCUCUUUCAAUGUACAUGUGAGAUAGCCUAUUCUCUCUCCUUUUGAGAAAUUGUUGGAGGUUGAAAAACAAUAUGUGCUGUAACAAAUAUUCUAUACUACUGUUUGAGGUAUGAGAAAGGAAAAUUUAAGAUCUAAUAACUUAAAUUUGUAGUGAUACCACGAACAUUGAGAAAACAUUAAAUGGUUAUCAAACAACCAUUACCAUAUACUGAUAUGUCCUUU